rnacentral:rRNA from 1 species
GCCGGCGGCGGGGGGCGCGGAGGAGGCAGAGGUCGAGGCCGAGGAGGAGAAGGUCGUGGUGGAGGAGAGGAGGAGGAUCUGCAGCUGCACAAGGCCGCGAGGUCGGGUGAUGCGGCGGCGGCGGAGUCGCUUUGCGAGUCCAACCCUCUCGCCCUCAACUCCAGAGACCGCCUCUCCCGCACCCCACUCCAUCUGGCGGCAUGGGCUGGGCAUGUUGAUGUUGUGAAAUGCCUUUGCAAGCACAAAGCGGAUGUCGGGGCUGCAGCAAUGGAUGACACCGCCGCGAUCCAUUUUGCUUCCCAGAAAGGUCAUUUGGAAGUGGUGCGUGAGCUGCUGGCGUCGGGGGCCUCUGUGAAAGCAAAGAACAGGAAAGGCUUCACGGCGUUGCACUUUGCUGCUCAGAACUCCCACCUGGAUCUUGUGAAGUAUUUAGUGAGGAGGGGCGUGGGCAUCACAACAAAGACAAAUGCAGGGCAAACGGCUCUACAUGUUGCAGAGAAUGAUGACGUUCGUGCUUUCCUGAAAGAGUGUGAGCAGUCACUGAAGAAGGGAGUGGAGCUACCAUCUGAGAAGAAGGAUGAUUCUGUAGCUGAGAAGGCUGAUGAUGGCAAGGUCUCAGGUGAAGCUAGAAAAGAUGGUGUUGAUGCCGAGCAGGGCGAGAAGAGGAAGAGUGAGGAGAUUGGUGCUGGGACGAGGCCGCCGGAGGUGAAGAAGGCCAAAGUUUCACUUUCGCAUCUUGAAAACGACAUGGAAGAAGAGGAUGAAGCAGACGACUAG